rnacentral:rRNA from 1 species
GCAUAGCUGUAAACACUGAUAUUUUUAAUACAUUUAAUAUCCGCCCGGGUACUAUAAGCAUUAGCUUAAAACCCAAAGGACCUGGCGGUGCUUUACAACCUCCUAGAGGAGCCUGUUCUAGAACUGAUAACCCCCGCUCAACCUCACCCCUUCUUGCCAAUACCGCCUAUAUACCGCCGUCGUCAGCUUACCCCAUUGAGAGUUCUACAGUGAGCAAAAUUGGUAUAACCCAAAACGUCAGGUCGAGGUGUAGUACAUGAAGGGGGAAGAAAUGGGCUACAUUCGCUAAUUAGCGCACUACGAAUCACAUGUUGAAAUUACAUGUCUAAAGGAGGAUUUAGCAGUAAGAAGAAAACAGAGUAUUCUCCUGAAAUUGGCCCUAAAGCACG